rnacentral:rRNA from 1 species
AUACGGAGGGUGCAAGCGUUAAUCGGAAUUACUGGGCGUAAAGCGUACGUAGGCGGUUCGUUAAGUUAGAUGUGAAAGCCCCGGGCUUAACCUGGGAACUGCAUUUAAAACUGGCGGACUAGAGUUGAGUAGAGGGGAGUGGAAUUUCAGGUGUAGCGGUGAAAUGCGUAGAGAUCUGAAGGAACACCAGUGGCGAAGGCGACUCCCUGGACUCGAACUGACGCUGAGGUACGAAAGCGUGGGUAGCAAACGGGAUUAGAUACCCUAGUAGUCC